GCCCUCGUCGUCUAGGGGUUAGGACUCCUGAACCUCAUUCAGGAAACAGCGGUUCGAAUCCGCUAGAGGGUG
rnacentral:tRNA from 1 species